rnacentral:misc_RNA from 1 species
CGGAAGGAUUAUUAGAAUAGGGACUUGGGUGUGGGCGCCGUGCGAAGCGCGGUGCGAGGGUGAGCGCAGCGAGCCCGUCACAGGGUGAUCCGUGGAAACGCUGAUUAGCCUGUGGCGCAGUGGGGGCCAGUAGCCCCUCUACAUUGAUCAACACGCCCGACGGCCCAUCACCGCUACGCUACGCUGCGCGGGACGGGCGCCGGGCUACCUCGUAUCGUUACACAACUUUCAACAACGGAUCUCUUGGCUCUCGCAUCGAUGAAGAGCGCCGCGACAUGCGAAACGUAAUGUGAACCGCCGUGGAUCAUCGAGUUCUUGAACGCACAUUGCCCCCAUGCACGGGUGGGCGGGGAGCACACUUGUACCCUGACUAGACACACACACACACGGUCUUUCCCCCCCACGCGUGUAAG